rnacentral:pre_miRNA from 1 species
GUGAGCCGUACUUGGACUAGUAAAAAUUAGUUUUUUUACUAAACAUUUAUGGUUCUAG